GUAGGUGAACCUGCGGAAGGAUCAUUACCGAAUCGCCAAACACGGGUUGUUGCUGGCCCCCAAACCGGGCACGUGCACGCCCUGUUUACGCAUCCACUCACACCUGUGCACCCUCUGUAGUUCUGUGGACCGGGAGACGUCGUCUUCCUUCCGUGGCUCUACGUCUUUACACACACGCCGUAGCGAAGUCUCAUGGAAUGUUUUUCGCGUUUAACGCAAUACAAUACAACUUUCAGCAACGGAUCUCUUG
rnacentral:misc_RNA from 1 species